rnacentral:tRNA from 5 species
GGGUCGAUACUCAAGCGGUCAACGAGGGCAGACUGUAAAUCUGCUGGCAUUAGCCUACGUAGGUUCAAGUCCUACUCGGCCCACAA